CCGCCCUCGACUCUCUCCUAUGCUGCUGCUGUCCAGCACAGGGAGGCAUGGAUUAGCAGCUCAGCCCUUCUACCCAAUACUCCAGUUGAGUGGAGGCACAGGUGGUGACUCAAGCCUUGGAAAAACAGUUGAAACAGUGGGAGCCAGCACAGCGAGAACUUGCUUGGCUAUAAUAAAGAGACAGUGUAUUUUCAUGGUGAACAAUAAAGGUUUUAUAAUCCUC